rnacentral:tRNA from 2 species
AGGAAAGAGAGGGAUUCGAACCCUCGGUA